rnacentral:rRNA from 1 species
UAGUCUGGGAUACCACUUGGAAACAAGGUGCUAAUACCGGAUAAGAAAGCGGAUCGCAUGAUCAGCUUUUAAAAGGCGGCGUAAGCUGUCGCUAUGGGAUGGCCCCGCGGUGCAUUAGCUAGUUGGUAAGGUAAAGGCUUACCAAGGCGAUGAUGCAUAGCCGAGUUGAGAGACUGAUCGGCCACAUUGGGACUGAGACACGGCCCAAACUCCUACGGGAGGCAGCAGAC